rnacentral:misc_RNA from 1 species
AAGUCGCAACAAGGUCUCCGUAGGUGAACCUGCGGAGGGAUCAUUACUGAGUGAGGGCCCUCGUGGUCCGACCUCCAACCCUUUGUCGUCCGACUCUGUUGCCUCGGGGGCGUCCCCGGCGUUCGCGCCAGGGGCCCCCGGCGGUCCACACAACUCUGCAUCUUUGCGUCUGAGUAAACAUUAAAUGAAACAAAA